GAUGAAGAACGUAGCGAAAUGGGAUAAGUAGUGUGAAUUGCAGAAUUCAGUGAAUCAUCGAAUCUUUGAACGCACAUUGCGCCCUUUGGUAUUCCUUAGGGCAUGCCUGUUCGAGCGUCAUUUAAACCUUCAAGCUCAGCUUGGUGUUGGGUGACUGUCCGCCGCCUCCGGGCGGUCGGACUCGCCUCAAAUUGAUUGGCGGCCGGUACUUUGGCUUCGAGCGCAGCAGAAACGCGAACUCGAGGCCGUCGUCCUGGCUCCCAGAAGCUAUCUUCACAAUUUUGACCUCGGAUCAGGCAGGGAUACCCGCUGAACUUAAGCAUAUCAAUAAGCGGAGGA
rnacentral:misc_RNA from 1 species